UUUUGAUCAUUCAGUUCAUUUAUUAAAUAUCCACUAGGUUUCCAAUAGAUUUCCAUGUGAGUAAGUUUACUUUUAUUUGCUAAUUAAUGUGUUUCUACAUUACAUGAAAUUAUGCUAACAUUUCAGGAGAAAUUAUAGAAUUUAUCAGUAACACAGAUUAGCACACCUAUGUCAGUGAGGAACAAUGAGAAGUUUAUGUCACAUUACCAGCAUUUCACAAGUUUCUCAUUCUUGGAAGCAGUUAUUUUUAUAAGAGAUGGUACUGGAUAAGCUAAAUCUCAGAGAGGUGGCCUUAUGAACGAGAAGUGGCAUGUUCUUAAGUCUCUUAGAAAUCAACCCAUGCCUUUUUUAGAGGAUUUGCUGAGCACACAAUGUAUUAUUGCCUUUAUAAAAACUAACAUUCGAUAACAAAAUAUAUCAUGUAUAAUCUGCAUGAUAAAUAUUUUCUGUAUACCAAGGGAUAAUCAUAACAAAAAUCCUUCACUGAUAAAGUUCCUAAGGAAUUUCUAGAAUUAAAGUUAUAAAGCAAACAAAUUACUUCUCUGGUCCCGCCUAAGUCUACUGCAGUAAUACCAUUUAGACAUCUAGAAACAAAACUACAGUUUCUGCAAAUUAAACCUGCUUUAAAAGAUUUUUUAUUCAUAAAUAUGAUUUCUAUUAUAAGAAUGGAGACCUGGUCCUAUAAUGGAAUUCAAUAGGAAAAAAAAGAAUUAAUUUUAAGCUGGCCCUGCUAAACAUAUCCACUGUGUUGUACAAAGUUUCUGUAGUUGGAAGACUAGCCUUUCAAGAUGUGCCAAAUACACUCUGAUCUGUUAGGGUAGGGGGCGGGUAAGGAAUGCUUUAUUCCUCUCUGGCAUGCAAAGCUCAGGGUUACAAACUUUUGAUCAUCAGCCUGUCCAAAUUUCUACCAAG
rnacentral:lncRNA from 1 species